rnacentral:rRNA from 1 species
UACGUAGGGCGCAAGCGUUUGUCCGGAAUUAUUGGGCGUAAAGAGCUCGUAGGCGGCUUGUCACGUCGGGUGUGAAAGCCCGGGGCUUAACCCCCGGGUCUGCAUUCGAUACGGGCAGGCUAGAGUGUGGUAGGGGAGAUCGGAAUUCCUGGUGUAGCGGUGAAAUGCGCAGAUAUCAGGAGGAACACCGGUGGCGAAGGCGGAUCUCUGGGCCUAUUACUGACGCUGAGGAGCGAAAGCGUGGGGAGCGAACAGG